CAGUCGCCACGGUAAUACGAGGGGGGCAAGCGUUGUUCGGAAUUAUUGGGCGUAAAGGGCGCGUAGGCGGCUUUGCAAGUCUUGUGUGAAAUCUCUGGGCUCAACCCAGAGUCUGCAGGCGAAACUGUCGGGCUUGAGUAUGGGAGAGGUGAGUGGAAUUUCCGGUGUAGCGGUGAAAUGCGUAGAUAUCGGAAGGAACACCUGUGGCGAAAGCGGCUCACUGGACCAUAACUGACGCUGAUGCACGAAAGCUAGGGGAGCAAACAGGAUUAGAUACCCCCGUAGUCCCUGUCUCUUAUAC
rnacentral:rRNA from 1 species